rnacentral:rRNA from 1 species
UACGGAGGGUGCAAGCGUUAUCCGGAAUCAUUGGGUUUAAAGGGUGCGUAGGCGGUCCUGUAAGUCAGUGGUGAAAUACGGCAGCUCAACUGUCGAGGUGCCAUUGAUACUGCGGGACUUGAGUACAGUCGAGGUAGGCGGAAUUGACGGUGUAGCGGUGAAAUGCUUAGAUAUCGUCAAGAACACCGAUAGCGAAGGCAGCUUACUAGGCUGUAACUGACGCUGAGGCACGAAGGUGCGGGGAUCAAACAGG